AAUUAUCGAAGGACUGCCUUAAUUCAUAGUU
rnacentral:ncRNA from 1 species